rnacentral:rRNA from 1 species
AGCAGUAGCCGCGGGAAUACGUAGGUCCCGAGCGUUGUCCGGAUUUAUUGGGCGUAAAGCGAGCGCAGGCGGUUAGAUAAGUCUGAAGUUAAAGGCUGUGGCUUAACCAUAGUACGCUUUGGAAACUGUUUAACUUGAGUGCAGAAGGGGAGAGUGGAAUUCCAUGUGUAGCGGUGAAAUGCGUAGAUAUAUGGAGGAACACCGGUGGCGAAAGCAGCUCUCUGGUCUGUAACUGACGCUGAGGCUCGAAAGCGUGGGGAGCGAACAGGAUUAGAUACCCGGGUAGUCCCUGUCUCUUAUACA